rnacentral:rRNA from 1 species
AUUGAACGCUGGCGGCAUGCCUUACACAUGCAAGUCGAACGGUAACAGGUCUUCGGAUGCUGACGAGUGGCGAACGGGUGAGUGAUCCAUCGGAACGUGCCUAGUAGUGGGGGAUAACUACUCGAAAGAGUAGCUAAUACCGCAUGAGAUCUACGGAUGAAAGCAGGGGAGCGCAAGACCUUGUGCUACUAGAGCGGCCGAUGGCAGAUUAGGUAGUUGGCGGGAUAAAAGCUUACCAAGCCGACGAUCUGUAGCUGGUCUGAGAGGACGAUCAGCCACACUGGGACUGAGACACGGCCCAGACUCCUACGGGAGGCAGCAGUGGGGAAUUUUGGACAAUGGGCGCAAGCCUGAUCCAGCAAUGCCGCGUGCAGGAUGAAGGCCUUCGGGUUGUAAACUGCUUUUGUACGGAACGAAAAGCCCUGGGUUAAUACCCUGGGGUCAUGACGGUACCGUAAGAAUAAGCACCGGCUAACUACGUGCCAGCAGCCGCCGUAA